rnacentral:rRNA from 1 species
GUGGGGAAUUUUGCGCAAUGGGGGAAACCCUGACGCAGCAACGCCGCGUGGACGAUGAAGCUUCUUGGAGUGUAAAGUCCUUUCGGCAGGGACGAAAUUUUGACGGUACCUGCAGAAGAAGCCCCGGCUAACUUCGUGCCAGCAGCCGCGGUAAUACGAGGGGGGCGAGCGUUGUUCGGAAUUAUUGGGCGUAAAGGGCGCGUAGGCGGUGUGGCAAGUCAGGUGUGAAACCUCCAGGCUUAACUUGGAGCUUGCAUCUGAAACUGCCAUGCUAGAGUGUGGGAGAGGAGAGUGGAAUUCCUGGUGUAGCGGUGAAAUGCGUAGAUAUCAGGAGGAACACCGGUGGCGAAGGCGGCUCUCUGGACCACAACUGACGCUGAGGCGCGAAAGCUAGGGGAGCAAACAGGAUUAGAUACCCCUGUAGUCC